AACCUAAUUUCAAUGACUUAUAAAUACACAUAUUAACAUUGGAGUAACAAACCAAAAUAAACUUGCAAAGAAUCAUUUUUUAACGGCGAACCAAAUGUCAAAAUCUUUCAGUUUCUUUGCCAUAUUGGCUUUAGUUGUUGCAGUCCAAUUAAUACAAGUUGAAGGUGUUUGCACACACAUUGUGGCUGAUUGUAGUGAUAAACAUCUUAGUUGUCCAGCAGUGUGUAAAGCCUUUGGAAAAGGUGUUAAACUUAUAGGCACGAAUUGUGACUUCUACAAUUUAUGCACUUGUACUUACGAUCAUCUACCAUAUAAUUUUGAUCUAUGCGAUAUUGGGAUGGGACUCUGCACUGAGGAUUGUAUGGAUGAUUGUUGUGAAGCAAGGUGUACUGGCCAAUAUCCUUAUUCGGGUGUUGGGUUAUGUGUGCGAGACUUUGGUCUCCACUAUUGCAGAUGUACCUAUAGUAGGCAUUGAGUUUGUUGUUAAUUGAAAUAAAAUACAAUAAAUAAUAUGUAUGCCCAUGUCAGAUGUAUUAAUACUUUGAUGGUGUAAAGUCAUUUUACAUUAUCAAUCAAUUAAAACCAUUCAAUUAGACA